GCAUCAGUAGAAUAUAGAGUUCAUGGCUUUGAAGAAGCUAGGGAGGUUUAAAUUGCCUUGGUGCA
rnacentral:tRNA from 1 species